rnacentral:rRNA from 2 species
UACGGAGGGUGCAAGCGUUAUCCGGAAUCAUUGGGUUUAAAGGGUCCGCAGGCGGUCAAUUAAGUCAGAGGUGAAAUCCCACAGCUCAACUGUGGAACUGCCUUUGAUACUGGUUGACUUGAGUUAUACGGAAGUAGAUAGAAUAUGUAGUGUAGCGGUGAAAUGCAUAGAUAUUACAUAGAAUACCGAUUGCGAAGGCAGUCUACUACGUAUAUACUGACGCUCAUGGACGAAAGCGUGGGGAGCGAACAGG